UACGUAGGGUGCAAGCGUUGUCCGGAAUUACUGGGCGUAAAGCGUGCGCAGGCGGUUUUGUAAGUCUGACGUGAAAUCCCCGGGCUCAACCUGGGAAUUGCGAUGGAGACUGCAAGGCUUGAAUCUGGCAGAGGGGGGUAGAAUUCCACGUGUAGCAGUGAAAUGCGUAGAGAUGUGGAGGAACACCGAUGGCGAAGGCAGCCCCCUGGGUCAAGAUUGACGCUCAUGCACGAAAGCGUGGGGAGCAAACAGG
rnacentral:rRNA from 1 species